rnacentral:rRNA from 1 species
UACGGGGGGAGCAAGCGUUGUUCGGAUUUACUGGGCGUAAAGGGCGCGUAGGCGGCCACCGCAAGUCGGUUGUGAAAUCUCUGGGCUUAACCCAGAAAGGUCAACCGAUACUGCGGGGCUAGAGUGCAGAAGGGGCAACUGGAAUUCUCGGUGUAGCGGUGAAAUGCGUAGAUAUCGAGAGGAACACCUGCGGCGAAGGCGGGUUGCUGGGCUGACACUGACGCUGAAACGCGAAAGCUAGGGGAGCGAACGGG